AGUCUUAUGGUGUAAUGGUAACACGUCAGAUUUUGGUUCUGAAAUUUUAGGUUCGAAUCCUAAUAAGACUA
rnacentral:tRNA from 1 species